AUGCCAAUUAGGGGCAGAUCCCAAUGGCCCAAGGUAAAUCCCGGAUUUGAUAUGAUCCCUCCCAAACUUACCAAGAGUGCUGGACGUCCAAGAACUAGGAGGAUAAAGAAUUACACCGAAGGUGGAACCGGUAGAAGACACAAAUGCAAAAGAUGUGGAGCAAUAGGCCAUCUUCGAAAGACAUGCAAGGAGCCUGAGAUGGAAAGUGACGCGGAUCGAGAUGCUACUCCUCCUCCGCGGUAUUUAUUUCAUAACUCUCAUCUCUUUCACUUGUAUUUAUUUCAUGAUGUUACUCCUCUUCCAUGGUAUUUCUUUCAUGAUACUACUUCUCACAUUGUUGCCAAAUGUCCUACAUAUUAA
rnacentral:rRNA from 1 species